rnacentral:rRNA from 1 species
CAUUAUCGUACAACCGAGGUGCAAAGGCUGUCGCUGACCCUCAAAGGUCGUGCACGCCCGAGCGCUCUCACACAAUCCAUCUCACCUUUGUGCAUCACCGCGUGGGUCCCCCUUUUGCGGGGAGGGCUUGCGUUUUCACAUAAAACUUGAUACAGUGUAGAAUGUUUCUUUUUGCGGUCACACGCAAUCAAUACAACUUUCAACAACGGAUCUCUUGGCUCUCGCAUCGAUGAAGAACGCAGCGAAAUGCGAUACGUAAUGUGAAUUGCAGAAUUCAGUGAAUCAUCGAAUCUUUGAACGCACCUUGCGCCCCUUGGCAUUCCGAGGGGCACACCCGUUUGAGUGUCGUGAAAUCUUCAAAAUCCUUUUUUCUUUGAGGGGUUUUGGACUUGGAGGUUUAAUGCUCGCCCUUUCUUUCGAAAGUGAGCUCCUCUCAAAUGAAUCAGUGGGGUCCGCUUUGCUGAUCCUUGACGUGAUAAAAUGUUUCUACGUUUUGGGUUUAGCUCUGUUCCUUGGACGCCUGCUCCUAACUGUCUCAUUGACAAUGAUGGUGCUCUGGUCACCGCCGGUCUACAUCGGCGGGAGGCUGGACCCACAGAAAGAAAACCUUGGACCUCAAAUCGGGUGAGACUACCCGCUGAACUUAAGCAUAUCAUAA